rnacentral:rRNA from 1 species
GAUGAACGCUGGCGGCGUGCCUAACACAUGCAAGUCGAACGAAGCGCUUUGAAGUUUUCGGACAGAUGAGUGACUGAGUGGCGGACGGGUGAGUAACGCGUGGGUAACCUGCCUCAUACAGGGGGAUAACAGUUAGAAAUGACUGCUAAUACCGCAUAAGCGCACAGUAUCGCAUGAUACAGUGUGAAAAGCCGAGACGGUAUGAGAUGGACCCGCGUCUGAUUAGCUAGUUGGUGGGGUAACGGCCCACCAAGGCGACGAUCAGUAGCCGACCUGAGAGGGUGACCGGCCACAUUGGGACUGAGACACGGCCCAA